AGAAUCAACGCUGGCGGCGUGCCUAACACAUGCAAGUCGCACGAGAAAGGGGAGCAAUCCCUGAGUACAGUGGCGCACGGGUGAGUAACACGUGAAUAAUCUACCUCCGAGUGGGGAAUAACUGAGAGAAAUCUUAGCUAAUACCGCAUAAUACCCACGGGUCAAAGCAGCAAUGCGCUUGGAGAGGAGUUCGCGGCAGAUUAGUUAGUUGGCGGGGUAAUGGCCCACCAAGACGAUGAUCUGUAUCCGGCCUGAGAGGGCGCACGGACACACUGGAACUGAAACACGGUCCAGACUCCUACGGGAGGCAGCAGUGGGGAAUUUGCGCAAUGGGGGAAACCCUGACGCAGCAACGCCGCGUGGAGGAUGAAGCCCCUUGGGGUGUAAACUCCUUUCGAUCGGGAAGAUAAUGACGGUACCGAUAUAAGAAGCCCCGGCUAACUUCGUCGCCAGCAGCCGC
rnacentral:rRNA from 1 species